rnacentral:SRP_RNA from 1 species
GCCGGGCAUGGUGACGUGUGCCUGUAAUCCCAGCUACUUGGGAGGCUGAGGUGGGAGAAUUGGCUUGAGCCCGGGAGGCAGAGGUUGCAGUGAGCUGAGAUCGUGUCACUGCACCCCAGCCUGGGCGACACAGCGAGACUCCAUCUCAA